AUUGAACGCUGGCGGCAUGCCUUACACAUGCAAGUCGAACGGCAGCACGGGUGCUUGCACCUGGUGGCGAGUGGCGAACGGGUGAGUAAUACAUCGGAACGUACCUUAUCGUGGGGGUAACGCCGGCAAAGGCGUUGUUAAUACGCAUACGCCCCGAGGGGGGAAGGGGGGGGUCGAAAGAACCUGGCCGGAUAGGACGGGCGAGGCCUGUUUGGACUGUUGGGGGGGUAAAAGCCCACCAAGGGGAGGAUCAGUAGCUGGUCUGAGAGGACGAUCAGCCACACUGGGACUGGGACACGGCCCAGACUCCUACGGGAGGCAGCAGUGGGGAAUUUUGGACAAUGGGGGCAACCCUGAUCCAGCAAUGCCGCGUGAGUGAAGAAGGCCUUCGGGUUGUAAAGCUCUUUUGUCAGGGAAGAAACACCGGCUCUAACACAGUCCGGGAAUGACGGUACCUGAAGAAUAAGCACCGGCUAACUACGUGCCAGCAGCCGCGGUAA
rnacentral:rRNA from 1 species